UUCAAGUGCCGGGGGAGCUUUAUGGCUGAGAGGAUGUGUUAGGUGAAACACAUCGACCCCAGAACCUGAUCCAGGUAAUACUGGCGGAGGAAGGCUUAAGUGGUUAUUU
rnacentral:ncRNA from 2 species